rnacentral:rRNA from 1 species
ACGGGAGGCAGCAGUGGGGAAUAUUGGGCAAUGGGGGAAACCCUGACCCAGCAACGCCGCGUGAAGGAAGAAGGCCUUCGGGUUGUAAACUUCUUUUACCAGGGACGAAAUUUGACGGUACCUGGAGAAAAAGCAACGGCUAACUACGUGCCAGCAGCCGCGGUAAUACGUAGGUUGCAAGCGUUGUCCGGAUUUACUGGGUGUAAAGGGCGUGUAGGCGGAGCUGCAAGUCAGAUGUGAAAUCCCGGGGCUCAACCCCGGAACUGCAUUUGAAACUGUAGCCCUUGAGUAUCGGAUAGGCAAGCGGAAUUCCUAGUGUAGCGGUGAAAUGCGUAGAUAUUAGGAGGAACACCAGUGGCGAAGGCGGCUUACUGGACGAUUACUGACGCUGAGGCUCGAAAGCGUGGGGAGCAAACAGGAUUAGAUACCCUGGUA